rnacentral:ncRNA from 1 species
UACUUAAUUAAUUUUAUUAGUAGUUAUAUACUUAUUUUAAAGAUUAAACUAUAUAUAUUUAAAUUUAAAUAAUUAAAUUAUAAAAUUACGAAUAGCUUAUUAAAUUAAUUAUAAUUUAUUUAAUAGUACCUUACUAUAUAAAUAACUAUAGUAAUUCUAAAGUUAAUAUAUAUUAAAAACUCUAAUUUCGGAAGGGGUAUAUUUAUUAAAUUAAAAACUAAUACCCUUUGGGGCUAAUUAGUAAUUUAUAAUAAUUUUUCGAAUUGUAUAGCUUUAUACUAGCGAUAGUUUAUUUAAAUUUCUACUCUAUUAACUUUCAAUAAUUAGGUUUUAACUAACUAUAGUAACAAUAGGUAAUGGAGGGUUAGGGCUCAACCUUAGAAAAAGAGUUUGAAAAACGGCUACUAUAUUUAAGGAAGGUAAUAAGCGUAUAAAUUACCUAAUUCCAAUAUAGGGAAGUAGUAAUAAUAAAUAUUAAUAUAGGGCUCUUUU